rnacentral:rRNA from 1 species
UACAGAGGUCCCAAGCGUUGUUCGGAUUCAUUGGGCGUAAAGGGUGCGUAGGCGGCGCGGUAAGUCGGGUGUGAAAUCUCGGAGCUUAACUCCGAAACUGCAUUCGAUACUGCCGUGCUUGAGGACUGGAGAGGAGACUGGAAUUUACGGUGUAGCGGUGAAAUGCGUAGAUAUCGUAAGGAAGACCAGUGGCGAAGGCGACUCUUUGGCCUGUAACUGACGCUGAGGCGCGAAAGCGUGGGGAGCAAACAGG